GGUGGGGUACCGAAGCGGUCAAACGGGGCAGACUGUAAAUCUGCUGGCGAAAGCCUUCGGAGGUUCGAGUCCUCCCCCCACCA
rnacentral:tRNA from 1 species